AGAUGAAGAACGUAGCGAAAUGCGAUAAGUAAUGUGAAUUGCAGAAUUCAGUGAAUCAUCGAAUCUUUGAACGCACAUUGCGCCCGCCAGUAUUCUGGCGGGCAUGCCUGUUCGAGCGUCAUUUCAACCAUCAAGCCCCCCGGCUUGUGUUGGGGACCUGCGGCUGCCGCAGGCCCUGAAAAGCAGUGGCGGGCUCGCUGUCACACCGAGCGUAGUAGAUCUCAUCUCGCUCAGGGCGUGCUGCGGGUUCCGGCCGUUAAACCACCUUCAUAACCCACGGUUGACCGCGGAUCAGGUAGGAAGACCCGCUGAACUUAAGCAUAUCAAUAAGCGGAGGA
rnacentral:misc_RNA from 1 species